rnacentral:rRNA from 1 species
CCUACGGGUGGCAGCAGUGAGGAAUAUUGGUCAAUGGACGAGAGUCUGAACCAGCCAAGUAGCGUUAAGGAUGACUGCCCUAUGGGUUGUAAACUUCUUUUAUAUGGGAAUAAAAUGUUCCACGUGUGGGAUUUUGUAUGUACCAUAUGAAUAAGGAUCGGCUAACUCCGUGCCAGCAGCCGCGGUAAUACGGAGGAUCCGAGCGUUAUCCGGAUUUAUUGGGUUUAAAGGGAGCGUAUGUGGUUUGUUAAGUCAGUUGUGAAAGUUUGCGGCUCAACCGUAAAAUUGCAGUUGAAACUGGCAGUCUGGAGUACAGUAGAGGUGGGCGGAAUUCGUGGUGUAGCGGUGAAAUGCUCAGAUAUCACGAAGAACUCCGAUUGCGAAGGCAGCUCACUGGACUGCAACUGACACUGAGGCUCGAAAGUGUGGGUAUCAAACAGGAUUAGAUACCCGGGUAGUC